GGCCGUCGAAAUCGGGAACAUCAGCAAAACAAAAUAAGAAAACAAAAAGUAGAGGAAAUGUCAAAUUUUCCUAAUGUGGUGUUAGUGAAUGGUUAUUUGUCGGCAAUCAUGGGCAACUUGUUGCAAAAAUAGUUUCAAAACGUCGCCAUUGCGGUCUUGUAUGCAAUCAAGCGGCUAAAAAGAAACGGGGGGGAGGUAAAAAGAGAGAGUCUGGGGGUAGGAAAUCACAUAUUUCCGCCUCGGCGUUGAGGGUAAAACAAAAGAAAAACUUGGGGAAUUUGGUCACAAACGAGGAGAUAUCGAAAGGCAUGGAAUUUGACCAGAUCGAGAAAUGCCACCGACUGAGUUCAUGAGACCUGCACAUGAAGAGAUAGCGACAGAGUUAAUUAUUGCAUGCCACCCAAGUUGUUUGUUGAUUUUGGUCGGGCUUAAUCAAGGCCCAUUUCACAACAAGUUGAUAGUUCCGUCUGACACUUGGCUGACAAUCGCUGUCACCAAAACAACAACGCUCAAUAAAGGCCCUCGAUAAUAAAGGAAAAUCGAUUGGGGUUUUGUCUGAAACGAUAUAUACGGUGUGUAUUUAAGUUGCAUUCAUUCGCCAGUGCUGCCAAAAGAUCAUUUGUGUAAUAAAACAUAAUUAGGUUACGCUGUUCGCCUCUUUAUGUUUGAACGAGACGGACGGACAAACGAAAGUCGUGUGUGAUUCUAUACUGGCUGACAGAAGAUACCCUCCCACGAUGCCCGGCUUUUCUGGCCAUCACAUGAAACUUUUUCUAUUUUGCUCAUCCCUCGCCCCUGUCUUGAAACUUAAACUGCAUUCAUAUAUUUUAUUUUUUUCUGGACUUAAUAUCUCUGACCAUUCGGGUGGUGGAAUUUAUUGUUGUCUUAGUCUCAUUUGCAUUGAGCAUGUGCCUGUUUUGGAAUAACAGAGUGUUUCAUUUGAGUUCUUUUAAAAUUAUUCAACAUUUUGUUUGUUAUGGAAGACGCGUGGAUUUGACCUUCUAGGGAUGUGUUUAUAGUUUACAGAACAAAACAAGGUUUUAUUUCAGUCUAAUUAUUUCAUUUUGUGUGUGUGAAAUAGUUUGACUCCCGGACGUGCAAGGAACGUGCCUGCGAUACUUCAAAACGACGUCAUUCUUCGUGAAAGAAAUAUUUAAAGACAUGGGAUAGUCUGAAACUUUAUACAACACUGAACUUCUGGGUUCACGUUUGGAGUUCAAAUACACUGUGUUUACCCUUUAUCUUCCUGGCGCGACUGAUCAUCAGCAGAGCAAGAAACACUGGUAACAUCGACAUUGCUGGAACAUUUCAAAUUUCCCUCCUUGGACUGCAAUCUGCUACACAACGCGGACCCUUUUUCUACGUCUACCCUUUUAUCUUGUGCCCUAAAGGAAAACAACAUUUACGUGGAUGUGUAUAUAGACUUUCCGUUUCAGUUGGGCAUUGAAAGAGCUAUUGUAAAUGUUGCUCGGCCAUUGUACCAGCCUGCCAACGCAAAGAAGCCAAAGGAGUCAUUAAGCUAUUCAUCACUGAAAGGCAAAGUCUCUCGACACCUAACAUGCUGCUUCCUGUACGCUGCAAACACUUGUACAGAGUGUAAAGCCGAACUUGGAUUUCAUCUGUAUUUCAUAAGGUGAUUGCACCAGAGCCUUCCGGCAAGGAAAACUAUAAGGAAGUCGUCUUUUGUUGUUGUUGUUCUUCUUCUUCCUGGAUUAUUGACCAGUCCUGGACACCUGUUUUCACAAAUCGAUGGAACAUGUUGCAUUUUUUUUUUCUAGAACUCUUCGAUUUUUUCUGUUUUACCCAAGGCAUGUAUAAAGUAAAGUCUAUUUUUUUCUUGCCAUUUCUCAGCCAUCUGGCUGCAAAGAUUUGAAAGAAAAUCAGUUGGCGAUUCCAUUUUUCUAUAGAUAUUAAAGAUGCGGUAGUCUUUGAACAGAAGCGCUCGUCAUUUCUCUCUACGCCAAAUCAACACAAGAAAAUAAGCCAACGUAGAAUUCUAGGAAUCCAGCAAUUUGCUGAAAUCUACCUUUGAUUUACAGAUGUUCCAUCGUACCAUUUUACGAGGGUCUUAUACGCAAUAAAGCGCGGAGCAACGUCAUUCGGUUGCAGGAUUGCCGGAUGCCCUCCGACCAACAAGAUGGUCAUCAGUAAAUUUUACCUGUUAUUGCGUGUCACUGUGACAUCAGCAAGGCAGGCGACACAAGCGUUGCUAAUCGCUCACAGAGGCCGACGUCUCCUUUUGUCAUUUCAAGUGACCCCCUGUUGUUCUCCCCUUGUUAUGUGGCAAUGACAAGUGCGACUGCCUCCGCCUCCAUCCGAUGAUGGAAUGAAGUGCCCCAUCUUAUUCUUUUAUAGUAAACUUUAAUCUAAUUUUCGGCAUAAAGUUGGUGGGUCUCAGCUUGAAGCAAGUCUUCAUUUUCUGCUCUUGGUUUUCUAUUCAGAGUAAAUGAAAUGUGGGCCAUAAAUAGAAUAAGUUGAGUCUAUAUUCUUUGAAACCUUGAACGCAUAGCGAAUGUCGGAGAAGGAAAAAACAAAACAAUAAACGUAAAGAGAGGAAGGAUGGGCGGUUAUUUUGUGUUUAGGCCGGACUGAAGGUGGGCAACCAAACAACGAGUUCAGCAGCUUUUAUGUCGACUCUGAGAGUGCCGAAUCGAAUGAGAAACAAUACACUGAUAAGAGAAAAGGGAUCCGAAAGGGAUCUACUGAAAACAAAAAGGCAGACGAUGAACAAAAUAUAAAAAAAGGGAAAAGAAAAGAAGAGCAGCUGCAAUUUCAGUGACCCUUUGACGUAUAUCAAACAUUAUUUUCUUUAUGAACCAAAACAUAAUUAUGACUCUUCCUUCUAUUAACUCUUCAAUGUUUUCCCGUCUUGAAAGAAUUGAGCGGUCCGUUCAUUAAGUCUUUUUUUUUUUGUUUUUCUAGUUCACUUUUCAUAGCAAAAGCGCUUUAUUUGAAGUGCCAUAAAGCUGGAGCGUGUUAGUAAUAACUCAACUGAAUGUUACACAAUCGUCAAUCAAGAAAUGGCAAAGGGUUGUAUGUAUUACACAUCCGCCACUACCUGACCUUUUCUUUCAUACACACAACAGCGUGUGUAGCUGUAGCCCUUGAUGAUUUAAACUUUUCAAAAUUUCGUUUUCUUUGAUAAUAAAUUUGCCGUUGUGUCAAACUCUCCCUUUUCUUCCGUUGGCACUAUUUGAA